rnacentral:lncRNA from 1 species
ACAGAGGAUCGUUCCGUCAGUCGGGUCUCGGCCGCCGUCAACGUCAAUACGACGGCGCACGAGCUGAUCGCCUCGGCUCGGAAGCACCGAGCAUCCUCGCGGUACGGGCCACCAAUAUCAAACAUCUUAUCCCCCAGUUCCCUUCACCUAACCUCCCCUCUCAACCCAACCACCACCUAAUCCAACGAAUUCGCGGCCAUUCCCCGAAUCCUGUCGUCGAAUCGGCCAAUGUUUGCCAAUGUUUGAUCCAAGUGUCGCAACCUGUCUCCUCCAGUGUCUGUGCGUCUCUCCGUUCACUUCUCUGAAGGCAGCCUCGCGAACCGUCACAUCUCUCGCUCGUCGUGAGAUUAUCACGGCUCCUUGCUCCGCCUCUCUCCUCCUGCAUGCAAAGUGGGGUGAAAGGACGCGGAAGGCGGUUCGAUAGGUAGGGUAGAACACACAGGUAACCUCCUGCGACGGAGGGAAUGCGGAUGCGGCAUCGGUGAUCCCUGUUUCGAAGCGGGGUGGUGAAGCUCGGUUGCGGUCGAUGUGUUUUUGCGGUUAAUUUUCGGUUGGACACGGUUCGAUGCUUUUCCGUGGUAAUUGUCUCUCUCUCUCUCUCUGUCUGCCGGUUUAUCGGUUUUCAUGGUCGAAAUUGUUGGCAUAACACGGUGUCGGUGCUCAACGAUGUCGAGUGAUCGCGUCGCUUUGUUUCGAGUGGACAGAGUUCCAGUUUGCGGGCGGAAAACGGAUCUUUCUCGUUGAAUCGGGAAACGGUGAGGCGUUUCGUUUCGAGAAAAAUUCGAGAGCGUUUUAGAACAACGUCGAGGAUUCGUUGGAUAAUAGAGCAGGAACGUAAGAAUCGAGUGGUCCCUGCCACGUGGCGCCGGUUUCUUUUUCCUUUUCUCGACAAACUUGGGCUAGCAAUUUUUCUAAAAAUUCGACCAAUUAAAUCUUCACGCUAGGAAACUAACCACCGCGAAUGUAAAUAUUAUCCGAUAAAUCUAACCUAACUUUUCGAUCAAACUCGAUCUCAAACAACUUCUGAUCUCAUCUUCAUCUCGUUCUCGUCUCGAACAACCGCGGCAGGUUGUCAUCAGACGCACAGACACGGAAUAAAGACAAACUUCUUCUCCAACCCCUUUCCUUUUCCACCCUACCCCCCGAUAUCUCGAUAGCCGGUGGUGUGCGCGAUCGUGGCGGGAGUGCGUGUGGUGCGUCAGUGUGGCAUUUCUGUGACCAGAUGCAGUGGGCUGGCCCAUAUACUCUGCCCGUUCUCGUCGUGUCCUGGUGAGGACGCAGCCGGAAGCGAGGCACGCGCGCACACACACACACACAAACCAUCGAAGAGAGAGCGGAUGCUUCUCGAAAGGAGCGAGUCCUUCCACUGUCGACAAUCAGUUCCCGUUGCACACUCGCGCGAGAACAACGCCAAUCAGCCAAGGAUCUUCUCCUUCCCUCCUGAACCUGAAAGCUGAAAUCAAACUUCGGAUCAUCCGUGCCUCGUCGCUUUCCACCGCACGCGCGCGCGCGCACGCACGCACGAAAUCUUUCCUUCCGUCUGGCAAUUCUCUCGCGCCGGUCGAACGUGGCAACCACCGAGGCGGACCGCUCUCCUUCCCAAGAAGAAUCAAUCCGUGCGAUGAACGACCGUUGGAAAAGUUUGAGGUUUCGUGAUGGGAUCGGGAUCCGUCGGAGGCUGUUCAGUUGAAAAGAUUUAUCGGGCAGGGAGAGGGGGGAGACCGAUAUAUAGCCAGCGGGUGAGAUCGAGUUUGUGGAAAAUCGAUGGAGAGAGAGAGAAGGAGAGGCGAUUAAAAGGAGCGGUGAAAAGGAUGUAGUAGUUGUAGUCAGCAGUCGUAGUAGCAGUCGAAGGAAAUCGAUAUAGUUUCCAGCACGUGGCUGGCUUUAAACUGGCGGUUUAGUUUACGCCUAUAUACACUGAUAACCUCGCUUAAAAGAAAAAUAAAGAAGAAGAAGAAGGAGGAGGAGGAAUAAUUCGUGCGAGUGUCGUUUGAUCGAGUGAAUCUCUCGAAAAAUCUUCUUUUCCCUUUACGACGUUCUUUUUUCUUUUUCUUUUCUUUUUUCUUUUUUCAUGUUAACUGGGAGCACAAGAUAGAGAAACAUUAGUAAGGAAGUAAUAUAGCAGAAGGUGAAAAUCGUGGUGUGCCGAUCGUGUUCUCUCUCGACAAUCCCCAAGCCAGGGAUCUCUCCUCUCUCGGGAAGAUCAGUGAAAAAACAGUGUUGAAAAUUGUGAAGUGCAAGCUUGUUAAUCGGAGAAAGAUCGAGAAAGUGAGAAAGAAGAAGGAAGAUCUUUGAAGAAUUGUUUCGAGGAGUCUUAGGAGUCUGGCGCCUUCAUCGAGAUCCCAAACAGGGAUCAUUGAGAAUUUUGUACGCGAAUUGAGAGCAAAGGCCUAUAUUAUAUCAAAUUUUCAUCGUCCAUCCUUCAUACUUUCUCGCCUUAAUCAUCGGUUCGAUAGAAAAACCGAAUAUUUCGAAAGAAGCUUGGUCGUCGAGGAGCAUAGGCGGGAUAAGAAAUCGAUGUGAUAAGGGAAGAGGAGGAAGAGUUUGAAAAUAAUUCGAUUAACUUCGAAUCCGGCAACCCUCUUUAUCGAAGUAUCGAGUUGAAAGGGUUGAAAGGGAGGGAUUCUCGCGGCUUAUCUCGCUCUAAUCCGAAAGGAAACUUUUCAAAUUAUCCUAGUCGAAUAAACUGGGACUGAGAAUACCUGAACGGUAUUCAAAAAAACCAUCAUCGUGAAAAGGAAGCAACUGGAACGCUGUAACGUAAAUUAAAUAAUUGUUCGAGACAAUCCAAAGAUAUCCUCGAAUCGAGGCCAGAUCUAAAAACUAAAAAUUAAACUAAAAUAGGAUCAUUUCUAUAGACGUAUUUAAUAGAAUAGAUGUUGGAUCUCGACUUUCAAGGGGCUCAACAACUUCUAGACUACUUUUUCCAACCAAAAGCCAUCCAUCCUCGAAUUUCUAGCAAAGCUAUUUCAAACGAUACACUUUUAUAAAUCCUAGACAAGGAAUUCUCAAAGAAUUCGACCAUCAAGCUGGACCAGGUCGACCAACUCCUCUUGGUAAAUUUUUUUAAAGGCCAAAUCCGACUCAGCCUAUUAAUCGUCACUUGGCAACUCGUGGGAUCUUAGUUUCUCAGGCCUCUGAAACUACUCACUCCAUUACUAAAGCUUUAAAAAAA